GCACUCAGCUGAUAGAGCAUGAGACUCUUAAUCUCAGGGUCAUGGGUUCGAGUCCUACGUUGGGCA
rnacentral:tRNA from 1 species